AACGCACAUAGCGCCCGCCGGCCAUUCCGGCGGGCAUGCCUGUCCGAGCGUCGAUGACGCCUUUCGAGCCCAUCUGAUGGGCUCGGUGUUGGGGCGCUAGGUAACCCUAGGCCCCCAAGCAGUAGUGCGCGGUCCGGCUGCGGGCCCCGGGUACAGUAACUUCACCGUUAGAUGCCCUGGGAGAAGCAGUUAGGCUUGCCGUAAAACCCCCGACAUAGGGACCCCCGCAAGGGAGGAACCGCCAUAUGUUGACCUCGGAUCAGGUAGGACUACCCGCUGAACUUAA
rnacentral:misc_RNA from 1 species